rnacentral:rRNA from 1 species
AGAGUUUGAUCCUGGCUCAGGAUGAACGCUGGCGGCGUGCUUAACACAUGCAAGUCGAACGAAGCACUUUAUUUGAUUUCCUUCGGGAUUGAUUAUUUUGUGACUGAGUGGCGGACGGGUGAGUAACGCGUGGGUAACCUGCCUUGUACAGGGGGAUAACAGUUGGAAACGGCUGCUAAUACCGCAUAAGCGCACAGCAUCGCAUGAUGCAGUGUGAAAAACUCCGGUGGUAUAAGAUGGACCCGCGUUGGAUUAGCUAGUUGGUGAGGUAACGGCCCACCAAGGCGACGAUCCAUAGCCGACCUGAGAGGGUGACCGGCCACAUUGGGACUGAGACACGGCCCAAACUCCUACGGGAGGCAGCAGUGGGGAAUAUUGCACAAUGGGCGAAAGCCUGAUGCAGCGACGCCGCGUGAGCGAAGAAGUAUUUCGGUAUGUAAAGCUCUAUCAGCAGGGAAGAUAAUGACGGUACCUGACUAAGAAGCACCGGCUAAAUACGUGCCAGCAGCCGCGGUAAUACGUAUGGUGCAAGCGUUAUCCGGAUUUACUGGGUGUAAAGGGAGCGCAGGCGGUGCGGCAAGUCUGAUGUGAAAGCCCGGGGCUCAACCCCGGUACUGCAUUGGAAACUGUCGUACUAGAGUGUCGGAGGGGUAAGCGGAAUUCCUAGUGUAGCGGUGAAAUGCGUAGAUAUUAGGAGGAACACCAGUGGCGAAGGCGGCUUACUGGACGAUAACUGACGCUGAGGCUCGAAAGCGUGGGGAGCAAACAGGAUUAGAUACCCUGGUAGUCCACGC